UACAGAGGGUGCAAGCGUUGUUCGGAAUCAUUGGGCGUAAAGGGCGCGUAGGCGGCCUUGCAAGUCGGAUGUGAAAGCCCAGGGCUCAACCUUGGAAGUGCAUCCGAAACUGCAGGGCUCGAAUCUCGGAGAGGGUGGUGGAAUUCCCAGUGUAGAGGUGAAAUUCGUAGAUAUUGGGAGGAACACCGGUGGCGAAGGCGACCACCUGGACGAAGAUUGACGCUGAGGCGCGAAAGCGUGGGGAGCAAACAGG
rnacentral:rRNA from 1 species